rnacentral:rRNA from 1 species
UACGAAGGGGGCUAGCGUUGUCCGGAAUCAUUGGGCGUAAAGAGCGUGUAGGCGGCCCGGUAAGUCCGCUGUGAAAGUCCAGGGCUCAACCCUGGAAUGCCGGUGGAAACUGUCGGGCUAGAGUCCGGAAGAGGCGAGUGGAAUUCCUGGUGUAGCGGUGAAAUGCGCAGAUAUCAGGAGGAACACCAAUGGCGAAGGCAGCUCGCUGGCCCGGUACUGACGCUGAGGUGCGAAAGCGUGGGGAGCAAACAGG